UUAAAAUCUAGUUUGAGCAUCUAAUUCUUAGCAAACCAUCCAAUGCGUAUUUCUGCUAUUUGGAGCAACUUUCCAGUGCUGUUUUGGAGUCAUUUGCAUUGUUUCUAAGUUGUUUGACAAUCUGCCUCAAAUUUUGGAUAUUUGAGUUGUUUAUUUUGAAUUGCACAUGAACUGAAUAUAUCAAAUUUUGUUAUAAGUGGAAUCUACCAAGAAAAACUAGCCAAACAAGUUUAUAUUCAUCUAUUAAACAUGUUUGCGCAAGUCUAAUUCCAGUCUAUACANUUCUGGGCAUUUUCAAUGUUCAUGUUAUCCAAUUUUUAGGCACUUUUGAUGGCUCAAUUUAGUGCUGCAGCAGAAUUUGCUUGUUACAAACUGAAUUUGGUGUUAACCAUUAAUUGUUGGGUGUAGCAUAAGCUUAGGUCCAUAAAACAAUAAUUGAAAUCAUUUUCAAAGAAUAUGAAAUGAUAUUAAAAAGCUAACUGGACCAGUGCACCCAAUCUGCGAAAUCUGCAAAAAUUCAAAUUUCAUUUCUGCACUAAAAUUGAAUGUUCUUUGAGAUAUUUUUACAAACAGUUUGUAAAAUCUGCAUUGCACAUCUAAUUUGAGUUUAAUUUCCAUUCGUGUCUUUUUAUUGUUUUCUAAUCUACUCUAGAACAAUUCCUAGGAUCAUUUUGAGGUGCCUCCUUGUUUGUUACCCGAUUAAUUGCUUGCUUUUGAGUUAUUGGCCCCCNNNNNNNNNNNNNNNNNNNNNNNNNNNNNNNNNNNNNNNNNNNNNNNNNNNNNNUACACACAACCUAUUUGAUUAAAGGUUUUGUGGUGUUGUCUAUUUGAAUGCAAUUCUGGUAGCAACUAUAAUUUUGUAUUGGAAUUAAAUUGUGACUUAGUGAUCUGUGGAGGUAAUUUCUGUUGGUGCAGCAUAGCUAGAGAGACCUACACAUCAAUGGUAGCCUCUUAAGAAGUGCAGUAUGGGCAAAAUCAAGGGCAGAAACCACCUUUAGCAGCCUAACUUUUCUAAUUUGCCAUCCAUUUUAUUGCUGACACCACAGACUUACACAAACACCCUACAACUAUGAGGUUUUGAGAGUAGUGUUAACCCCCUGCUGGUCUGCACCAUAUUUUUUGUAACUGAUUGAGUGAGUUCUAGAACAACAAAUCACAUUUCCACCUUGCAGCUGUGAGUUUAGUUUGCUGGUCACCUCCAGCAAUAUCAUUGUGAGAAGCCAAAGUUGUUUUCCAAUAUUGUUGCCUAAUUCAGAUGGCAACUACUGUUGAACCGAUUGGAUCAAUUUGUGUUCUCAUCAAUAUGCAUUGAAUCAGUGUACUAAAGUUGCUACUACACUCCAUUUUCAAUUACUAAUCUCAAAUAACACUGUUCCUAUUCAAUUGAAAUUGCUAGUGCUUGGAGUCUUUGCUGUUUUGGCACUUUACA
rnacentral:lncRNA from 1 species